rnacentral:rRNA from 1 species
UAGGGAAUCUUCGGCAAUGGACGAAAGUCUGACCGAGCAACGCCGCGUGAGUGAAGAAGGUUUUCGGAUCGUAAAACUCUGUUGUUAGAGAAGAACAAGGACGUUAGUAACUGAACGUCCCCUGACGGUAUCUAACCAGAAAGCCACGGCUAACUACGUGCCAGCAGCCGCGGUAAUACGUAGGUGGCAAGCGUUGUCCGGAUUUAUUGGGCGUAAAGCGAGCGCAGGCGGUUUCUUAAGUCUGAUGUGAAAGCCCCCGGCUCAACCGGGGAGGGUCAUUGGAAACUGGGAGACUUGAGUGCAGAAGAGGGGAGUGGAAUUCCAUGUGUAGCGGUGAAAGGCGUAGAUAUAAGGAGGAACACCAGUGGCGAAGGCGGCUCUCUGGUCUGUAACUGACGCUGAGGCUCGAAAGCGUGGGGAGCAAACAGG